UACAGAGGUGGCAAGCGUUGUUCGGAAUUACUGGGCGUAAAGGGCGCGUAGGCGGCCUCCUAAGUCAGACGUGAAAUCCCCCGGCUUAACCGGGGAACUGCGUCUGAUACUGGAUGGCUUGAGUUUGGGAGAGGGAUGCGGAAUUCCAGGUGUAGCGGUGAAAUGCGUAGAUAUCUGGAGGAACACCGGUGGCGAAGGCGGCAUCCUGGACCAACACUGACACUGAGGAGCGAAAGCCAGGGGAGCAAACGGG
rnacentral:rRNA from 1 species